UGGGGCCCAUGGGGAUGGAGGUUUGAGUUCAGGUCUGAAGCCCAGCGCCUCCCUGAAGCUGCAGGCAGGCGCCCUCCUGUGGGCCCACCUCCUGGAGGCCCUCCUGCCUCACCUGUCCAGUGCCUGUGAGCAAGCUGCGGUUUCAAGCUCCAGUGGCCCGCUGCAGAGUGGACAGUGAGAGAGAGAGACAGAGAGAAAGGUCUUCCUUUGUUUCCGUUGGUUCACCCUCCAAUGGCCGCUGCAUCUUCUGAUCAAUAUUAAAAAGUAACACAAACGACCCAACAGGAAAAUGAGUCACAAUAUGAAGAAAAUAAAGCCCAGAGGCCGAUGCACAGAACUGUGACUCACUGAAGCAGUUACUGCACCGAGAGCUCCAGCAGGGAUCCAUCAGGGAGGACAGGGCCACAGGAGGGACCCGGCGGGUGCAGGAGCAGAGGGGAGAGGCCUCCUGCCUGGGGACGUGGAGUCCAACCUGCACCCAGGCCUCGCCUCCUGCUGCUCCCACCCAGCACAACCUGAAGUCAGGGGCCCAUUGCCGUGGAGGAUGUUGAUUGGCUGCGUCCUUUGUGAGGCUGUGUGUGCUCACGGCCAUGCACGCUGUCCAAUCAGGCAUGACGAUGUCCAGGUCACGUCAUCACGCGGGGUCUUGACGUCACAGUCAUCUUACAGUUCUGGGCAGGAGCGAGGUGCUAGGAGACAGCUCUGCAGGCGCUAGGCUCCCGAAGCAAGUCGGGCUCCGUGGCCUCCACCUUCAUCACCGGGGGACGCUGGACACCUGGAGCUGAAAACCGCGACGUGCUUUCUUCCAAUCAAUAUUAAAAAGUAACACAAACGACCCAACAGGAAAAUGAGUCACAAUAUGAAGAAGCCCAGAGGCCGACGCACAGAACUGUGACUCACUGAAGCAGUUACUGCACCGAGAGCUCCAGCAGGGACCCAUCAGGGAGGACAAGGCCACAGGAGGGACCCGGCGGGUGCAGGAGCAGAGGGGAGAGGCCUCCCGCCUGGGGAGGUGGAGUCCGACCUGCACCCAGGCCUCGCCUCCUGCUCUCCCACCCAGCACAACCUGAAGUCAGGGGCCCAUUGCCCUGCAGGAUGUUGAUGGGCUGCGUCCUUUGUGACGUUGUGUGCAUUCACGGCCAUGCACGCUGUCCAAUCAGGCACGACGACGUCCACGCCGCGUCAUCACGCGGGGUCUUGACGUCACAAUCAUCUUACAGUUCUGGGCAGGAGCGAGGUGCUAGGAGACGGCUCUGCAGGCGCGAGGCUCCCAAAGCAAGUCGGGCUCCGUGGCCUCCACCUUCAUCACCGGGGACGCUGGACACCUGGAGCUGGAAACCUCGACGUGGGAAACAGCCAUGAUCAGCACAGGAGCUUUCUGGGGGAUAAGGGAAUACAGACUGGAGAGUGGAAUAAGGGAAUUCUGAGUACCAGGCAUUUCUCCAGACAUAGAAAUGGAACUACAAUUAUUUGGGAUGCGGUCUGUGAGAGAGAAUUAGAAACUUUCCAGGAAUGUGGAGACACAGGAGAAAUCUGGUGAGAAAAGCAUGUGAUUUGACUGUAAUUCCAUCCAAGGUCCAAGGUUAAGUAUUUGCAUGUCUUUUAUAUUGCAUUGCUGUUCUAGAGACACAAGGAUUUCUUGUAUCCUAAUUUGAUUAAUUCAACAAUUUGCCUCCUGGCAGUCCUAAUUAGAAACAAUAAACAAACGUGUGGUCAGAGUCUACAAGUUAUGAUUGUUAAAUUAACUUGUCCUAUGCUUUCUACUGGCAGCUCUUUGGUAAAUUUUAUGUAUUUCUUGUCCUUUUUAAUAUUUUAAAAAUUCUAUAAAGGGAACAAAUUUCAUAUGUGCAGUUUUAAGAACAUAAUGGUACUUCCCACUCUACCCUCUCUCUCCCUCACUCCCACCCUCCUUCCUUCAUUCCUUGUUUUUCCUUUAGUUAUUACAAUGACAUACUUUUAAUUUUAUUUAUAUUCACAAACUUAAUGCUCCAAUGAAUACAGAUUUCAACAAGCUAUAAGUAGGAAAAAAACACUGUUCUCAAGUAUACAGACAAGGUCUAUACUCAGAUCUCAAAAUGUGAAUUUCCCUCAUAUGCAUUGCUUUUUUUGUACUCUGAAUUAACACAAAUAAGGGAAAACAUAUGAUGCUUGUCUUCUUGAGAACGGGUUACUUUGCUAAUCAAAAUAGUCUCUGGUUACACAUAUUGUGUUGUGAGAGACAGGAAUUUGUCCUACAUUAAUGGCUAAAUCAUAGUCCACCAUACAUACAUACAUAUAUAUAUAUAUAUAUGCAUAUACACAUAUAUAUCCACAGUUUCUUUAUUCAGUCUUCAGGUGAUUUAAAUAUUAGUUGAUUAUAAGUCAUAGCUAUUGUGAAUUGAGCUGCUACAGACAUUGGGGUACAAAUAAUACUUUCAUAUGCUGAUAUCAUUUCCUUUGUGUAAAUUCCCAGGAGCAGAAUGACUGUGUCAGAUGGUAAAACUUUCAGAUUUCAGAGGAAUUAUCAAGCUAUCUUCCACAAUGGUUGUACUAAUUUACAUUCCCAGCUAAAGUGUAUUAGGGUACCCCCCCAACUAGCAUUUGUUAUUCAUUAAUUUUGGAUGACAGCCAAUCUAAAUGGGGCGAGUGAAACCUCACUGUGGUUUUUAUUUGCAUUUCCCUGAUGGCUGUGAUGCUGAGCAUCUUUUCAUAUGUCUGUUGGCCUUUUGUAUUUCACCUUUGAAAAAUGGUGUUCAAUACGUUAGUCCAUUUCUUAACUGGAUUGUUUUGCUGUUGAGUUUCUUGAGCUCCUUAUAUAUCUUGGAUAUUAAUCUUUCAUCGGAUAUAUAAUUUGCACUAUUUCCCCCCAUUCUGUUGGUCGAUGUUUACUUUGUCGUGUGUUUCCCUUGUUGUACAGAAUAUACUUAGCUUGAUAUACACCCAUUUGUCUGUUUUUGCCUUUAUUUUCUGUGCCUUCCAGGGUCUUCCACAUGCUUGGUUAAAUUUAUACCAAGGUAUAUAUUUUUUAUAUCAAUUGUGAAUGAGUCUGAUCUUACAACUUCUUUCUCAGCAAUGAAAUAGGCUAUAUGUUUUUGUGUGUUGAUUUUAUAUCCUACUUUUCAAAACUCUGUUAUAAAGUCUAGGAAUCUCUUAGUGCAGUCUUUUGGUUCCUCUAUGUUUAGGACCAUAUCAUCUGCAAACAAAGAUAAAACAUGACUUCCUCCCUUCCCAUUUGUAUCCCUUUGUUUUAUUUGUCUUGUCUAAUGGCUCUGGCUAAAACAUCCAGCCCUAUAUUGGAUAGUAUAUAUCCUAUAGUGGAUUUAUCCUAAUUGGAGAUAUAUAUCCUAUAUUGGACAGUAAUGGUGAGAGUAAGCAUACUGGUCUGGUUCCAGAUUUUAGUGAAAAUGCUUCCAGCUUUCCCUUAUGUGAUUAUUUAAAUAUUUAAAAAAUAGAAGAGUAAAAAUAGUUAAUUCCUUAAUCUGAUCAAGAUAGUCUAAAAUGUACAUGCAACAGUUAAUACAGGAUCAUUGAAUGCUUUCUCUGGGAGUGGACUCAGACAAGAUUCCCUCUCCUUGUUACCUCUCCUCAGCAUUUCACUGGAUGUUUAGUGAUGGAAACAAAUAACAAACAGGAAACUUGAACUAUAAGGAUCUAUUUUGGGCAACCAUACAUGUGGAUCCCAUCAUUAUAUGAAAGAUAACCUGACAAUAAUUAAACACAAUUACUGGAUCCAAGAUCAAUAAAUGAAACUAACACCAUUACUAUGUAACACAAAAAAUCUUAUUAAACAACAAAAAAGACAAGGAAACAAAUAUCUCAAUAAAAAAUAAGUAAAAGAGGAUUAAUCUAUGUACUAUCUUUUAACAUUCUUCAAAACAAUAUAUUUAAAAAAGUCCACAGACCUAACAAAAAAUGAGUGUAAAAUAUGAAGAAAAAGGUCCAGAAGCCAAAGAACAGUCAGUGAAUUGUAACUUCCCCUGCAACAGGUUAUGUCCAUCAACAAAUCACAGUUUCGUAGCAGGAAAAUGGACACAGGAGGCAAGGAGGGAUUCCUGGAGGUGAGACCACCUAGAAGCUGAUGGCUGCUCCCACUUUAGGGAGGUUCUGGGCCCAGGAGGAGGAGGUGGCUUCAGAUCUGAACUCAGACCCUGUGGCUCACUCCUGCUUCACAUCGCACAAUCACAAAUGGCCCACCUAGCUAUAGGGAGGAUUCUGAUUGCCUGCAUCUGUUCUGAUGUGCGUGCUCAGAGGCUGUGCAAAUUGCUCAAUCAGCAGGAUCCUUGGUUGCAACACUACCUAAUCUUGCAAGAUUAUCAUUUUGGGAGCUGCCAUAGUUGCAGAUUGCUUUGAGGUGUCAGUCAGUGGCUCAUACUCCACUUUCUGUGACUGUCCCUCACCAUAGAUGCUGGAAACCAGGAGGCUGGGAUACCUUGGAAGCUGGGGUAUUGGACAUGGUGGGUGUAGUUCUGGGCAUCAGGUAGGGGGAGCAUGCAACUUAUUGAAAUUGUAUGGAAAUGCUUGUAAUGAGGCCCAGGAGAACCAUGGUUAGCUCUGAAAUCUAUGGAUGCAGGCUCCUUCUUGGAAAGCCUCUUCCCUAAUUCUUUUGGCCUAUGAAGUGUGGACUGGAGGAGCACCCAGCACAUCAUACAUCCUGUCCUGUCACUGUAAGCAGCUACUCUGGAUCACUCACAAAGUACCUGCUGGGAAACUCCACACCCACAGCUCUAGUCUCCCCCAUUGUGUAGUGAGGAUAUGAAAGUCAUUAAAGAGAACCAGGACUGCAGGGUGAAGCUGUGGUUUGUGCAGUUUUUGGUUACUCCUUUCUCCAAAGUGGUUACAUGAAUCCCAUGACUUUAACCCACUGUUAAUUCAAAACCAUUUGUUCAGUCUCCAUGUGUUUCCAUAUGAUGUAGAGAAUCCUGAGUCGUUGAAUUCCAGCUUUAUUCCAUUUUUCAUCUAAGAUGAUGCAUGAUGUUAUUUCAAAUUUUGAAUUUGCUGAGACUUGAAUUAUGGCCUAGAAUAUGGUCUAUGCUUUUAAGAGUAUCAGAUACAUCAAACUAAUAUGGCGUCUGCAAUUAAAUUGAUUUGUUGUUCAGGAACAGUCUAGAGACUUCCCUUUAUUGUAUGAUUUUAUGGGUUAUAAUUGCUGUAAUUUUAUUUUUAAUAAUGAGAAAAGUGAGAGUGAUAAAGCACAUUGUUGGAAUUUUAGUACUGUUGGAAACUGAAAGUAUUGGCUUUUUAUAACAAAAUAAGGCAAAUCAAUGAAAAAGGAAAAUUAUGUGAACACACUUCGUAAAAGUCCACAUACAAGUAAAAGUGCAUGAGGAGCCAGCAUUGUGGCAGAACAGGUAAUUCUUCUGCCCAUGACAGCAUUCCAUAUGAGCACUGAUUCAUGUCCUCAUGGCUGCUGCACUUCCAAUACAGCUCCUAACUAAUGGCAUGGGAAUUCUGCUAAAUAUGGAAUAGUUCAAAGAGAAAGCACAGUUCUUUGAUAACCCUUUCUUGGUUGCAUUUUACAUAUCAUCUAAUGUUGAGCAGCACAAUAUGAUAAAAAUAGUUUUUUGAGGAAAAAACAGGCAAGUCACAGGACAGAAUAAAACACCUGGUCACUCAAUAGAAUGGAUUAUUUGUUUUUAAUAAUUUAUUUUUAUUACUGUAGAGAGAACAGAUUUCAUGUAAUUCAAAGGCACAAUUCUAAGGUUAUAAUGAUAUUUAUCUCACCUCCUCUUCUGUAUUUCUUUUCUAAUUUUUCUGAUAACAGUUUUAUAUACAGGCUUAAUGUACCACUAAAUAAAGAGUUCAACAAGUCCAAAGUAGAAAGACCACUGUUCACAGGAGUAAAAACAAGCAUUAUAAAUAAUAAUCAAACCCCAACAUGAAAGUUUCACUCACAUACAAUAAAUUUGCUUUGUACUCUGUAUAUUGGCCAGUACACAUCAGAGAAAACAUGAUUUUUUUCAUUCUUCAUUUUGAGGUCAUCAACUCCCUGUAUAUUUUGGAUGGUUUCCUAGUACCUUUAAUGUUCAUAGUUUUUCAGAAUCUUCUAGGCCCUAGUGCUAUCAUAUUCAUUGACAGGAAAUAUAUAUUUACUCUUGUGAAUAUUUAGAGAACUAUCUUAUAUUUUUGAAAUUGUCCAAAAUGUAGUUCUCUGUGCCAUAUUUUUCAUCAAGUGGCUCACAAUUCUCUAAGUUGUGUAA